GGGAGCGUGGCAGAGUGGUUGAAUGCGCCGGGCUUUGUCAAGAAAAGUCGGGUAGUGGCUUUUUGCCAUUCGCAGGUUCGAAUCCUGCCGCUCCCU
rnacentral:tRNA from 1 species